CCUACGGGAGGCAGCAGUGAGGAAUCUUGGUCAAUGGACGAGAGUCUGAACCAGCCAAGUAGCGUGAAGGAUGACUGCCCUAUGGGUUGUAAACCUCUUUUAUAAAGGAAUAAAACGAGGCACGUGUCCCUUCUUGCAUGUACUUUAUGAAACAGGAUCGGCUAACUCCGUGCCAGCCGCCCAGGUAAGACGGAGGAUCCGAGCCUUAUCCGGAUGGAUUGGGUUUAAAGUGAGCGAAGCUGGGUUGUUAAGUCAGUUGUGAAAGUUUGCGGCUCAACCGUAAAAGUGCAAUUGAUACUGGCAGUCUUGAGUACAGUUGAGGUAAGCGGAAUUCGUGGUGUAGCGGUGAAAUGCUUAGAUAUCUCGGAGAACCCCGAUUGCGAAGGCAGCUUACUAAACUGUGACUGACAUUGAUGCUCGAAAGUGUGGGUAUCAAACAGGAUUAGAUACCCUUGUAGUC
rnacentral:rRNA from 1 species